rnacentral:rRNA from 1 species
UACGAAGGGGGGGCUAGCGUUUGCUCGGGAAUUAUUUGGGGCGUAAAGCGCGCGCAGGCGGGUCCUUUAAGUCUGAUGUGAAAGCCCCACGGGCUCAACCGUGGGAGGGGUCAUUUGGGAAACUGGGGGGACUUUUUUUGAGUGCAGAAGAGGAAAGCGGGAAUUUCCACGUGUAGCGGUGAAAUGCGUAGAGAUGUGGAGGAACACCAGUGGCGAAGGCGGCUUUUCUGGUCUGUAACUGACGCUGAGGCGCGAAAGCGUGGGGGAGCAAACAGG